GAUGAACGCUGGCGGCGUGCCUAAUACAUGCAAGUCGAGCGAACGGACGAGAAGCUUGCUUCUCUGAUGUUAGCGGCGGACGGGUGAGUAACACGUGGAUAACCUACCUAUAAGACUGGGAUAACUUCGGGAAACCGGAGCUAAUACCGGAUAAUAUUUUGAACCGCAUGGUUCAAAAGUGAAAGACGGUCUUGCUGUCACUUAUAGAUGGAUCCGCGCUGCAUUAGCUAGUUGGUAAGGUAACGGCUUACCAAGGCAACGAUGCAUAGCCGACCUGAGAGGGUGAUCGGCCACACUGGAACUGAGACACGGUCCAGACUCCUACGGGAGGCAGCAGUAGGGAAUCUUCCGCAAUGGGCGAAAGCCUGACGGAGCAACGCCGCGUGAGUGAUGAAGGUCUUCGGAUCGUAAAACUCUGUUAUUAGGGAAGAACAUAUGUGUAAGUAACUGUGCACAUCUUGACGGUACCUAAUCAGAAAGCCACGGCUAACUACGUGCCAGCAGCCGCGGUAAUACGUAGGUGGCAAGCGUUAUCCGGAAUUAUUGGGCGUAAAGCGCGCGUAGCGGUUUUUUAAGUCUGAUGUGAAAGCCCACGGCUCAACCGUGGAGGGUCAUUGGAAACUGGAAAACUUGAGUGCGGAAGAGGAAAGUGGAAUUCCAUGUGUAGCGGUGAAAUGCGCAGAGAUAUGGAGGAACACCAGUGGCGAAGGCGACUUUCUGGUCUGUAACUGACGCUGAUGUGCGAAAGCGUGGGGAUCAAACAGGAUUAGAUACCCUGGUAGUCCACGCCGUAAACGAUGAGUGCUAAGUGUUAGGGGGUUUCCGCCCCUUAGUGCUGCAGCUAACGCAUUAAGCACUCCGCCUGGGGAGUACGACCGCAAGGUUGAAACUCAAAGGAAUUGACGGGGACCCGCACAAGCGGUGGAGCAUGUGGUUUAAUUCGAAGCAACGCGAAGAACCUUACCAAAUCUUGACAUCCUUUGACAACUCUAGAGAUAGAGCCUUCCCCUUCGGGGGACAAAGUGACAGGUGGUGCAUGGUUGUCGUCAGCUCGUGUCGUGAGAUGUUGGGUUAAGUCCCGCAACGAGCGCAACCCUUAAGCUUAGUUGCCAUCAUUAAGUUGGGCACUCUAAGUUGACUGCCGGUGACAAACCGGAGGAAGGUGGGGAUGACGUCAAAUCAUCAUGCCCCUUAUGAUUUGGGCUACACACGUGCUACAAUGGACAAUACAAAGGGCAGCGAAACCGCGAGGUCAAGCAAAUCCCAUAAAGUUGUUCUCAGUUCGGAUUGUAGUCUGCAACUCGACUACAUGAAGCUGGAAUCGCUAGUAAUCGUAGAUCAGCAUGCUACGGUGAAUACGUUCCCGGGUCU
rnacentral:rRNA from 1 species